AUUGAACGCUGGCGGCAUGCUUUACACAUGCAAGUCGAACGGCAGCGCGGGCUUCGGCCUGGCGGCGAGUGGCGAACGGGUGAGUAAUACAUCGGAACGUGCCCAGUAGUGGGGGAUAGCUCGGCGAAAGCCGGAUUAAUACCGCAUACGACCUGAGGGUGAAAGCGGGGGAUCUUCGGACCUCGCGCUAUUGGAGCGGCCGAUGGCAGAUUAGCUAGUUGGUGGGGUAAAGGCCUACCAAGGCGACGAUCUGUAGCUGGUCUGAGAGGACGACCAGCCACACUGGGACUGAGACACGGCCCAGACUCCUACGGGAGGCAGCAGUGGGGAAUUUUGGACAAUGGGCGAAAGCCUGAUCCAGCAAUGCCGCGUGUGUGAUGAAGGCCUUCGGGUUGUAAAGCACUUUUGGCGGGAACGAAAAGGACUGUGCCAAUACCACGGUUCGAUGACGGUACCCGCAGAACAAGCACCGGCUAACUACGUG
rnacentral:rRNA from 1 species